rnacentral:misc_RNA from 1 species
ACUGAUGUUGGUGAUUACAACGUAAAAUUACGUGCAAUUAUCAAGUUCCUUGAAGAAGGCAACAAGGUAAAAAUCACCUUGCGCUUCCGUGGUCGUGAAAUGGCUCACCAACAAUUAGGUCUUGCUCAAUUACAAAAAGUUGAAGCAGAUGUAAUUGAAUACGGUACAGUCGAACAAGCACCAAAAAUGGAAGGUCGUCAAAUGGGUAUGCUACUUGGACCGAAACGUAAAAAGUAAGCACUCAUUGAUCAAAAAAGCACUGCAUAUGCAGUGCUUUUUUACGUUUGUGUUUUGAUAGGAUUGAUCUUACAAGUUAAAAAGACCAGUCAUCGACUGGUCUU